AUGGAUCCGCCAAAGGAUGCAUCUCCAUCACCGAAACUGCACACGAGGCUGAGGGUUUGGGAGUUUGCAGACCGUUAUGUAUUUGAACCGGUCGAUGGCCUUGCUGACCUGUUCCUCUCAGUAAGCCGGACCAAUGGAUCUAUGAACCUAGUGCAAGAGUUGCCACCGCGUGGCCCCUCGGCAAACCCAAAAGUUAGGAUAGUGUUUGGUGUGGUAGGAGUGCUCAAGCUUGCAGUUGGAUCAUGUUGUCUGGUCAUCACUGACCGUGAUUGCGUCGGAUCCUACAUGGGACAUGCUGUUUUCAAAGUUACAGGACUAAAAGUUCUCCCCUGCACUACCGCAUCUUCGGCCGAGCAGAAAAAGAUGGAGAGCGAAUUUUCAGACCUCUUGGAUGCUGCAGAGAGGAGUAUAGGCCUGUACUUCUCCUAUGAGGCCAACUUGACACUUACUUUACAGAGGGUAUAUGAUCUUGGGGACACGUUCAAAGCACUUCCACUUUGGAGACAGGCAGAACGUAGAUUUAUGUGGAAUGGUUACUUGUUGGAGCCUCUCAUUGAGAACAAACUGGACCAAUACUUAUUACCGGUCAUUCAAGGAAGUUUUCAGAAUAUACAUGCAGAAGUUGGAUCAGAUAAAGUAGUAGUAACCAUGAUUGCACGCAGGUGCACAAGAAGGAUAGGUACACGAUGUUGGAGACGGGGUGCUGAUCCAGAGGGCUAUGCAGCAAAUUUUGUUGAAUCAGAGCAGAUAAUGCAAACAAAAGGAUAUACAGCAUCCUAUGUACAAGUUCGAGGUUCUAUGCCUUUUUUGUGGGAGCAGAUAGUUGAUUUGACAUAUAAACCUAGUUUUGACAUUGUUAGAGUGGAGGAGGCGGCUCGUGUGCUUGAGCGACACUUUCAUGAUUUACAAAAGAAAUAUGGAGCUGUCGUGGGUAUUGAUCUUGUCAAUACAACUGGUGGUGAAGGCCGCCUGUAUGAAAGAUAUGCAAAAUCGAUUGAGCCUAUUCUCACUGAAGAUAUAAGAUUCAUACAUUUUGACUUCCAUAAAAUAUGUGGUCAUAUUCAUUUUGAGCGCCUUUCACAGUUGUAUGAUCAAAUUGAGGAUUAUCUUAAGAAGCAUAAGUACUUCCUUUUGGAUGAUCAAGGCAAGAAAAUGGUGGGGCAGACUGGCACUGUCAGAACAAAUUGUGUCGAUUGCUUAGAUCGUACUAAUGUAACUCAGAGCAUGGUUGGAAGAAAAACUCUUGAAAGCCAGCUCCAACAACUAGGAGUUUUUGGUGGUAACGAUACAAUCAGCAAUUACCCAGCUUUCGAUGCAGAUUACAAAGUUUUGUGGGCAAAUCAUGGAGAUGCAAUAAGCACUCAGUACUCUGGCACUCCUGCUCUGAAGGGAGACUUUGUCCGGUAUGGGAAACGGACUACUCAGGGAAUUUUUAAUGAUCUGUGGAAUGCACUUGCUAGAUACUACUUCAACAACUUUGCAGAUGGUACUAAGCAGGAUGCCAUGGACCUUCUUCAAGGACAUUACGUAUCAUCAGUUAGUCGGGACGCCGCGCUUCCAAGCAAACCCGGAGUUAUGCAGUCCUUCCGUGUUGCUUUUGCAUUGAUUUUUUGCGCUGCUAUGUUCAUGCUUAUGUCUCUACGACAAGCCCGGAAUGAUCUUCGCCACUUGGUGGUAGCACUUGUGUGGGCCGGUCUGUGCGUUGGCAUUGCACUAUAUGUCAAAAAGAACGGUAGGAAGUUCUGCAACCGACCUCGUUUUUACCUGUCACGCAAUUGA
rnacentral:rRNA from 1 species